UGCUUUAAUUUACUUUAUUUGAGGCAAGGGAGUUUCAGAAACAGCCCACAUCUCAAGGUAGGGGUAAGUUCUGCUUAGACACCACUCUCCCCAGCCCUUACUCCUGAAAUUACACUGGAUUUUUUUUGUUUUACUUGAUCUGGUUUUGUAGAAGUUUGUUUUACCUGUCAAAAACAGGGAUACUUGGAAAACAGCAUUAUUGGCCUGGUGAGAAAGAAUAUUUACACAUAUUAUGCUUAGUAAAAACUAUCCAAAGUGCAAAAGGAAAUGAGGAGAAUG
rnacentral:misc_RNA from 1 species